CCCGCACUGUGAUGUCAGAAUAUCGUCCUAUCAGUGUUGGCCUCUGCUCUGAUGUCAUCAAACAGCCCACAGCUCAGAGGUACCUGCUGGGCUCCAGUGUCUUUGUCAAGGGAUCAGACCUCUUUUUCUGCUAUUAAUUUUGCAGGUCCCACCUUUUUCUCCACUCACGCUCAUCUGAGGAAGUGGGUUUUCCCCACAAAAGUUCAAGAGCAUGUGGCUUGUAAUGCUGCCAGCUGUUGCAGACUCUGCCCACGUGAUCAGCAAGGAAUUUGUCCUCCAUCAGAGGGGCCUGGUGUACCAUGGAGGGAGCCGAGAACAUGGUGUGGGGUGGUGCUUUGGCAGCAAGCAGAGUGAAAUGAAAAGGAAAAGCACAUGGCAGAGAGAGAGAAAGUUCGACUUGAAUUUUAACACACCCUUCCAUUUUCAAUACUUGGAAGCGUUUUUAAAGUAAACCUACGCUCUUGGUCUUGUCAGUGUCUCUUCAAUCAUAAUU